UACGUAGGGUGCAAGCGUUAAUCGGAAUUACUGGGCGUAAAGCGUGCGCAGGCGGUCCGUUAAGACAGAUGUGAAAUCCCCGGGCUUAACCUGGGAACUGCAUUUGUGACUGGCGGACUCGAGUAUGGCAGAGGGGGGGGUAGAAUUCCACGUGUAGCAGUGAAAUGCGUAGAGAUGUGGAGGAAUACCGAUGGCGAAGGCAGCCCCCUGGGCCCAAUACUGACGCUCAUGCACGAAAGGCGUGGGGAGCAAACGAAGAUAGAC
rnacentral:rRNA from 1 species